CGCGUAGGUGGUUGUGAUAGUCAGAUGUGAAAUCCUUUGGCUUAACUGAAGAACUGCAUCUGAAACUUCACAACUCGAGUACAGGAGAGGGAAACGGAAUUCCCGGUGUAGAGGUGAAAUUCGUAGAUAUCGGGAGGAACACCAGUGGCGAAGGCGGUUUCCUGGCCUGAUACUGACACUGAGGCGCGAAAGCGUGGGGAGCAAACAG
rnacentral:rRNA from 1 species